UCACUCUCAUGAUCAGUCCUCCUUCCCUCUCUAGUGUUUUCACUUUUUCAUCCCUUCGCAUUCUCUCUCUUCUUCCAUCUCCUUCAAACUACUUCUAUGUCUCUCUCUUCCUUUUUCACUCUCAGAUCCGCUCCUUAAAACGAAUGUCAAGUUCUAUGAAUAAUCAAGAUGGAUUUUAAUGGAGAUGUGUCAUCUCUUGAUGCUGAUCUCUUGAAGUUACACGAGGUUUCACCUUUGGCUCUCAAACCUAAUCCUUACCUGGCGCAAGAGUUAUUUGAACAGUGGCUUUCGCUUCCUGAAACCAAUUGCCUCCUGCUAAGGGUAGGGAUCAAUCCUGAGUUCAUAACUUUCAGUCAUGUAACUAUGGAAUCAAACAAGUAUAUUUGUGUGAGAGAGACUUCUCCUCAAAAUAGUGUUGUGAUUAUUGAUAUGAGCAUGCCAAGUCAGCCUUUGAGUCCAUCAUCGCUGAUUUUGCUUUGAUGAACUGUAAUUCAAGAACUCUCUCUCUCAAAGGUGCUGUGAAAGUACAUUCUACACCCUUUGUUGCACUUGCACCCCCAUCUUCAAACAAGGUUGUUUGCUCCUGCUUGAGAAUGGUUGCAUGCCCCAAAACAGAAUAAUCAGCAAUCUGUUGCUCAACACGCUCAACAACAUCACAGUCAAGUUAAUUUUUGUUCCCCUACCUUACAAGGUGUGUUUUUAGUCAUAGUUGAUGUAUAGCAAUGGUGAUUUUGGUACACUUUGUAUACAGAGAAUACCUUGAAGGGGAAAUAAGAAUGAAGGAAAGCUUUUAGAUGAAUUGUAAAGUUGUCUUGCUGGUUGAAAAUGACAUCUUUUUUUCAGAAUAUUACUAACUAAUAUGGUCACACCAAUAAAAUCGAAUCAAUUAGUUUGGCCAAAGUUUUCUUUUUUCACUUAACUGAUCCAACUAUAGUUAAAAAUCAGACCAGUUAGCUAAAUUAAUUGGUGCAGAUUUCAAAUAUAUUUUUUGUGUCGCCUCUUAUAUACUAGGCCACUUGCAUAAUAACAUGUGUCGCCUUAAAGGGGCGACUCUAAAACUCCAAAUACUUUAUAGUCGGUAGUCACAUAAUAGCCUCUUAGGCGACACUAAAGAGAAUAUGGAGCCUACUCCCAAAGGUGAUUUUGCAGUAAUAAUGGAUGAGCUUUUAAGGACCGCAUCAAUUUCAGUAAUGCUUAAAAGAGCAUUCAGAGGGAAUCAUAAUUCAAUUGAUGUUAAAGAAACAUUUAGGGGCCAAAUAAAUUUCAUGAAUACUAAAAGUUACUUUUAGGGGUAACUAGAUUUUACUAUUGCUAAAAAGAUGUUUUAGAGGCAACCUAAAUUUCACUAUUGUGUGAAAAACGUUUUUAGAGGUAACUAUUAUUUCAUUAAUGCUAAAGCUACUUUUAGGGGCAACAUAAAUUUUCCUAAUGCUAAAAAAAAGUUAUAGAGGCAAUCAUUAUUUCAUUGAUGCUAAUAACU